rnacentral:rRNA from 1 species
UAGGGAAUCUUCCGCAAUGGGCGAAAGCCUGACGGAGCAACGCCGCGUGAGUGAUGAAGGUCUUCGGAUCGUAAAACUCUGUUAUUAGGGAAGAACAAAUGUGUAAGUAACUAUGCACGUCUUGACGGUACCUAAUCAGAAAGCCACGGCUAACUACGUGCCAGCAGCCGCGGUAAUACGUAGGUGGCAAGCGUUAUCCGGAAUUAUUGGGCGUAAAGCGCGCGUAGGCGGUUUUUGAAGUCUGAUGUUAAAGAGUACAGCUCAACCGUGGAGGGUCAUUGGAAACUGGAAAACUUGAGUGCAGAAGAGGAAAGUGGAAUUCCAUGUGUAGCGGUGAAAUGCGCAGAUAUAUGGAGGAACACCAGUGGCGAAGGCGACUUUCUGGUCUGUAACUGACGCUGAUGUGCGAAAGCGUGGGGAUCAAACAGG